rnacentral:sRNA from 1 species
AUUAACGAGAACUUACACUACUUUACGUAAUUACAUAUGACGAUCUAAUUGAGAUUGAUUAUUAUUUUUAAACAGUUAUGAGCAUCCCCAAUGUUCAUAACAUUUCUCCUUAACCGAAACUGUGAAAACAGAGUCGUUGUUAUACGCAAUGAUCACCCCAAUCAUUGCGUAUUUUUUUGUCUAUCACAAA